CCUUGGUCAAGUGGUUACACUAAUAGGGGAGACAGAUAAUCUGUGUGAAUGAAAGGUGUGCAAACUCCAGGCCGUCUACCCUGCACUGUGAUGGUGGAGAUCGGUGCUUCAAGGUUAACAGAGCAAGAUGAAAACCUCCAGGAUGGCUGAGUCCACGCGGGUAUGCUGCCUGCAAGGGUGAGCUGGAAAAAACAACAAAACAUAAAUAAGCACAUUUCUCCAUUUCUAAUACGGAAAUUUGGAUUUCUGCUCAGAGAUCAUCGUUCACCAAGAAUCUGAAUUUUUAAUCAAUUUCUUAUCUAUUUGAACACAACAUGGAUGAGAGACAUGUCCAAACCUUUCUGGGUUGCAAAUACUGAGUGGGAGGCCAGCCUUCAUCACCAGGCGAGAGGUCUUGUUCCACCCCCGAGCUUGACCGCAUGGGAAUCAAAUUCAUGACUCAGCCAAGCUUGGCAUGGCUGCAUGUGAUGGGGUAUGGUGGCCAUCAGUGCUAUUUGCUAAAUAUGUAAGGGCUUCCUUCCUGCCUUUUGGUAGAAUUGCACUUCCCUGCCACCUUGCCGUUUGGUGCAGUCAUGUGACUGGUGUUGUCUAAGACAUGUGAGUGGAAGCAGCGUGUAUCAUUUUUGAGCCAAUGUUCAUUAAACCACUUUAGCUUCCACCUGUCAUGGUGAUUUUCUAGAAAUGUGUCAAGAUGAAGGCUGGGGCCCUGAGCAAAUACAAUGUGCAGACACCACUGUAUUCACAGAAGGGAAACAUAGCAUUUGAGAGAAUUAGCUGUUUCUUAUUUUAAGCUGCUGAGAUUUGGGGAUCUUUUAACUGCCCAUAAGCCAUCCCAAUUAACACACAGAGUCAUUUACAAAUCAUUAAAGCCUCUGAUGUUAAAUCUGUGAAUUGAAAUGUUCUACAAUGUGCAAAUCACUUUGGUAACUUUUUUUUUUUUCAUCUAGAAAAACUCAGUCCUUCGUCAGCUCUGAAUUGUGGUGGUAAACUCCUGGGUUCUAUCUGAAGUCAAAUACCAAGGAGAAGGUGCAAGCUUCGCCUUCUGGAAUAAAUUCAGUGAACUGCCA
rnacentral:lncRNA from 10 species